CAAGGUUAUUUAUGCACUUUCAGCAGCAUAUUGUUCUUCUCUCUGAUUGCUCAGAAUAGCAAUGAUUAAGGAGAAUGGUCAGAACCUGCCUGUCUGAUGAUUUUUUUUUUUACCAGUAAGUGAAAAAAGGACUUUCCAACCCAAACCAGUUGUACAAUACCCACAUUUGUGGAUGUGACUCACUCAUAAAUCUUGAACCGAAUCCAGCCUGGGCCGCAUGGUGGAGUUGUGGUAGAGUUGCUGCCUUACAGUGUUUAUGGUACCAGAGACCCGGGUUCGAUCCUGGCUACGGGUGCAUGUCUGUACAGAGUUUGUAUGUUCUCCCUGUAACCGCGUGGGUUUUCUCAGAGAACUUCGGUUUCCUCACGCAUUCCAAAGACAUACAGGUUUGUAGGUUAAUUGGCUGGUGUAUAUAUAAAAAUUGUCCCUAGUCUAGGAUAAUAUUAAUGUGCAGGGAUCGCUGGUCAGUGCAGACUCGAUGGGCAAAGGGCCUGUUUCCGCUCUGUACCUCUAAACUAAACUAAACAAAAGUAAAAAACUAAAUCAAACUAAGUAUGCACAGUUGUGUGGACUUGCAGGAUGGGAGACGGGAUUAUUGCUGAAAUCUGUAUGGAACAUAGUAAUAACGACAUUUUACAUUCAUGAAACGCCAGCUGAGAACUUCACCCUCACACAUCUGAGCCAGAAUGUUAAGGGUUAAAUUUCCGCUGUAGGAACCAGAGUACAAAACUUGAUGUUGGUGGUUUAUGGCAGUACUGAGAGGAUGCUGCACUGUGGAUGAGGCCAACUUAAAAAGCUACAGAAAAAGUUCACAUCAAAAAGUGCAUGGGCCACAAUGAGAAAGGCCAGUUAUCAAGGGCAAUAGAUUUAGCAUAAUAGUGCUGAAGACCUGUGUCCAAGUAUGACCUGCACAUCCCUGGGUGUUCCAAAGCUGGCAAACUGCUCAGUUGCCAAAAGAACAGACCAUUGCUUUGCACCACUUCAAACACGUCAACGUCAAGCUACGGCAAGCUAUCGACAACCGGUGACCCAUUAGGACGUCCACCUACGACCACAUCUAUGCAGCUCAGAACAUCACAAAAUCAAACCUCCCUUCCACUGACUCCAUUUAUACCUCGUGUUGCUUCGGCAAGGCCACCAGCAAACUCAAGGAUGAAUUACACCCUGGCCACUCCCUCUUCGCCUUUUUCCCAUCGGGCAAAAGGUAUAGGUGUGAAAACGCAUUCUACCACAACUAAAGAGCAGUUCUGAGCUACUCUCUACCUCAUCAGAGACCCUCAAACUAUCUUUGAUCGGACUUUACUGGCUUUAUCUUGCACUAAGCGUAAUUCAUAUUGUUUUCUUUAUCAUAUAUCUGUACACUGUGGAUAGUUCGAUUGUAAUCAUGUAUUGUCCUUCCGCUGGCUGGUUAGCAUGCAACAGUCAGCUUUACACGCGACACUAAACUAUAUGCAGAAUAUUUGACGAUUCCACCUACAGCCAAUAUAUCUACUUCUAUAUAUGACUACUUGAUAAUUUUCAAGAUGGCGGCGCUGACUUAACAGCUGCGGCCCACCUGCAGUCCGUCUGUUUUUUUUCUUUCUUUCUGUUCCUUUGUCAUGUUUUAGUUAAUUUUGUUUUAUUAAGUUGGGUAUGUGUGUGGGUCGGGUGGGAGAAACAUGUUUGGUCUCUUCCUUCGGGGGAUGCGACUUUUUUUCUGUCGAGGCCUAAUGGCGGAGCUGGCGGCCUCGGAGCUGUGGCGGCGGCAGCAGCAGCGGAGACCCGACUCAGCCCCGGAGCUGUAGCGGCGGCAGCAGCAGCAGCAGCGGUAGCGGAAACCCGACUCGGCCCCGAAGCUGUGGCGGAGGCAGCAGCAGCGGAGACCCGACUCGGCCUCAGAGCUGUGGCUGUGGCGGCAGCGGCGGCGGCAGCAGCAGUGGCAACGGGGACCUGACUCGGCCCCGGAACUGUGGCUGCGGCAGCGACCACCACCCGCCGAGUUUGAACCGGCCCGUUCGCGGAGCAUGGUUGAGCUGCAGGAUUUACCAUUUACCAUCACCCGGUGGGGUCACAACAUCUGGAGCCUGGAUCGCCUCGGCGCAGAGAGAGAACAAAGAGGGAAGAGACAGAGACUUUAAGAUUUUGCCUUCCACCACAGUGAGGAGGUGUUUGGUGAACUCACUGUGGUGGAUGUUAAAUUUGUGUUGAUUGUGUGUUUUUGUCAUUUUUUAUUAUAUGUAUGACUGCAGGGAAAUGAAAUUUCGUUCAGACCGAAAGGUCUGAAUGACAAUAAACAAAUCUAAUCUAAUCUAAUCUAAUUCUUGCAUAAAAACAGUGAAUUUAUAACUUGGCUCUAAUUCAAUGGACAAUCAUUUUGGACUUAAGUCUGAUUAUCUUACUUCCGGAAUGGGUGAUUAGUAUGGUAAGUGAAAUGUCAAUCAAACAGGCUCCUUUGUCCUUUGUUGUUUUUAGCACUGUGCAUAUCCAGGCAAGUAGAGGCAUUAGGUCACACUCCUUCCUUGUGCCCUGCAGAUACUGGAAAGGUAUUGGGGUGAUUACAGGUGAGUCAUUUACUACAGGAUACCCAGCCUCUGACCUGCUGUUGAAGCCACACUAAUUAUGUGUCCAGCCCAAUUAAAUCUCUGGACAAUAGUAACUCACAGGAUAUUGAUAGUGUUUGGCACAUUAAUGGUAACAGCACUGAAUAGCACAGUUAGAUAGUUAGUGUUCCUCUUGUUUGGCGAUGGUCAUUUCGUUCAGUUUAGUUUAGUGUAUUGUCACGUACCAAGGUACAGUGAAAAGCUUUUGUUGCGUGCUAACCAGUCAGUGGAAAUACGAUACAUGAUUACAAUCGAGCCAUCCACAGUGUACAUGAUAUGGACCAAACAUGGUAGAUGGGACUAGUGUAGGUAUAGGUGGGGCAUCUUGGCUGGCAUGGGCAAGUUGGGCCAAAGGGCCUGUUUCUAUGCUAUAUGACUCUCUGACCUAAAUAUUCUGGCACAUCUGAGGCACAAGUAUUAUUUUACACUUAUCAGUCCAUGCCUGAAUAUUGUCUAGGUUUAGCUGCGUGCAGGCAUAGACUACCUCUUUCGCUGAGAAGUUGUAAAUUAAAUUGAACAUUGUGCAAUCAACAACAAGGAUUGCCACAACUGACUUUAUGAUGAAGAAAGGUCAGCGAAGAAAUAAAUGAAGAUGGUCAGGACCAUGACAUGGCACAAGUGCAAAUCUUCAUCAAUGUUCAGGUAUUUGGCUGAUUAAGCACCAAUAAUUAUAAUAAUCUUCCCUUACACGAGGGUGGACUCCAACACUUGAUGUUACUGGAUUAUUAGAAAACCAAAACAACGUUAUUUGUCGACAGAAUGCUUGUAAGGUCAACCUCUUUGAAACCUAAUUCAUACCCAAAUGCUCAGGGGAUCUGAUCAGUUAAUUCAACAGUUCAAUGCUGCCAUUUUCUGAAUUAACAUUGCUGCGCUAUCUCCUUGGCAGCCUAACACUUAUUAAACUGAUCAAGCCAUUCUCUAAAGAUAGACACAAAGCUGGAGUAACUCAGUGGGUCACACAGAAUCUCUGGAGAAAAGGAAUCGGUAAUGUUUCAGGUCGAGACCCUUCUUUAGACCAGCAUCUGCCAUUCCUUCCUACACAAGCUAUUCUCAAAGAUGGAUUUUAGCUAUGAUGAAAUACUGAACAGACAAAGAUUGCAUUCAAAUUGAAGAGCAGAAAUUGAAGGGUGAUUUAGUUCAUGGGUUAUAACAUUUUGUCUCUGUGUAGGAUUAUGGUGAGGUGAUGGUUUGGAGGGACCUCAUAGCCUAGAAAGAGGCCAAAAAUCUGGUGAUACAGGUUGAAAACAAUGGAUUGAAAGUUCAGAGGGAAGUUGAGGAGUAACAAUGUUAUUAAGAGGAAUAGGGUUCAAGAGUUAAGAGUCAAGAGUUAUUUGUCAUAUGUACCAGAACAAUGAGAUCCUUACUUACUACAGCUAUACAAGCACACCAACAAUAAAAAAAACCAUUAAAUUAUCAGUUAUUCUAAGUAAAACAGACCAUGAUAUCAUCACAACUAUAGUAGUACAUAGUCCGUGGCAGUUCAAUGCAGGAUGGUUCAAGAACCUGAUAGUUGAUGGGAAGAAGAAGCUGUUCUUGAGCCAGGAGGUAAUGACUGCUGGAACAUGGCACAGGGAGAAUCCUAUUAAACAAUUAUUUGUGAAUGCACUUGAGGCAAACAAUAAAGUUACAAACCAAAAGCUGGCUCUCAAGUUCUUCUGCCUACCAUGAAUGAUAGUUUGAAUGACCUACUUCUUUGCUGAGAAUUUCACUGACUCUGUCACUCCCUACAGAAAUUCAACCAUUCUUGGUUACAUUGCUAGUAUUUAUUUCAAGAAGGGUUGUAUAAAAAAAAUGUAAGGUGCAGGUAAGGCCGCAUUUGGAAUAUUGUGAGCAAUUUUUGGCACCAUAUCUGAGGAAGGAUGUGCUGGCUCUGGAAUGGGUCCAGAGGAGGUUUACUAAAAUUAUCCCACGAAUUAGUAGGUUAACUUAUGAUGAGCAUUUGACAGCACUGGGCCUGUGCUCGCUGGAGUUCAGAAAAAUGAGGGGGCACCUCAUUGAAACAUACAGAAUAGUGAAAGGCUUGGAUAGAGUAGAUGUGGAGAUGAUUUUUCCACUGGUGGGGGAGUCUAGGACUAGAGGUUACAGCCUCAGAAUUUAAGGACUUUCUUUUAGGAAGUAGAUUAGGAGAAAUGUAUUUAGUCAUAGGAGGGUGAAUCUGUGGAAUUUGCUACAGAAGGUUGUGGAGGCCAAAUCAGUGGCUAUUUUUAAGGCAGAGAUAGAUAGAUUCUUGAUUAGUGCAGGUGUCAGAGGUUAUGGGGAAAAGGAAGGAGAAUGGGGUUAGGAGGGAGAGAUAGAUCAGCCAAUGGCGGAAUAGACUUGAUGGGCCGAAUGGCCUAAUUCUAUUUCUAUCACUUAUGACCUAUGACCAUUCAUUUAAAUUGGCAAAGGCGAGCGGAUCUAGGAAAUGAAGAUAAAAUACAGAGGCAUGAAAAUCUGAAAUAAAUCCCCAAAAUGCUGAAAACACUCAACUGGUGAGACAGCAGGCUACUGAGUUAACACUUUAGGUUAAAUGCCUCAUUACGGCAUCAUCUGUUUAUAUUUUGGAUCUGAGAAAUGUUUUGACUGUUUACAGACAGAUUAAAGAAUCAAACUAGUAUUUUUAGCCCGCCAGUUUUUUUAAUAAUCCACUAAAGCCACAUUUAAACUGAUUCUAAUUGCCACUUUAGUCUCCUCCUGUUUCCCAAAAUUAAAUUAAAAUGGAUUGUAUCAUUCUGCAAGGAACAGCACCUGCAGUUAUUUUAACAUGAUUGCAGCCUUUCUUUGCCACACCACACCUGAGCAUAAACAUCAAAGGCAACCAACUCUAGCCAAAAUAAAACAGUUUCAUAAUUUCUCAGUCUAAAUCAAUUUACCUAACCAUUAAAUAAUUCCACUGGCAUUGAAAAAAGGAUCAGUUCACAUCUUGCACUGUCCUGUGUGCUUACAGAUGUGGAGCAAGUCAGUCCUUGAACAUUUUGUUUGGGCAGCAAAUAUCAUAUUUUCUAUGCAUAGCUAGCACGAUUUCACUUUCCGCAUCAGGUUCGGGUUUUUGGCAAAGAUUUGAUUUUGCAAAACUAAAAUCAAUACAUAUAGUCGUAUAUAAUUUAAACAAGAGGACAUGACUUCAGAAUUAAGGGACAGAAGUUUAGGGGUAACAUGAGGGGGAACUUCUUUACUCAGAGAGUGGUGGCGGUGUGGAAUGAGCUUCCAGUGGAAGUGGUGGAGGCAGGUUCGUUGGUAUCAUUUAAAAAUAAAUUGGAUAGGCAUAUGGAUGAGAAGGGAAUGGAGGGUUAUGGUAUGAGUGCAGGCAGGUGGGACUAAGGGAAAAAAAGUUGUGGCGGCACGGACUUGUAGGGCCGAGAUGGCCUGUUUCCGUGCUGUAAUUGUUAUAUGGUUAUAUGUUAUAUGUUAUAAUUGGUUGUGAAGUUA